rnacentral:rRNA from 1 species
UGCAUAUUUCCCAAAAGCGGAGGAAAAGAAACCAACAGGGAUUGCCCUAGUAACGGCGAGUGAGCGGCAACAGCUCAAAUUUGAAAUCUGGCUCUUUCAGAGUCCGAGUUGUAAUUUGCAGAGGGCGCUUUGGCUUUGGCAGCGGUCCAAGUUCCUUGGAACAGGACGUCACAGAGGGUGAGAAUCCCGUACGUGGUCGCUAGCUAUUGCCGUGUAAAGCCCCUUCGACGAGUCGAGUUGUUUGGGAAUGCAGCUCUAAAUGGGAGGUAAAUUUCUUCUAAAGCUAAAUAUUGGCCAGAGACCGAUAGCGCACAAGUAGAGUGAUCGAAAGAUGAAAAGCACUUUGGAAAGAGAGUCAAACAGCACGUGAAAUUGUUGAAAGGGAAGCGCUUGCAGCCAGACUUGCUUGCAGUUGCUCAUCCGGGCUUUUGCCCGGUGCACUCUUCUGCAGGCAGGCCAGCAUCAGUUUGGGCGGUGGGAUAAAGGUCUCUGUCAUGUACCUCUCUUCGGGGAGGCCUUAUAGGGGAGGCGACAUACCACCAGCCUAGACUGAGGUCCGCGCAUCUGCUAGGAUGCUGGCGUAAUGGCUGUAAGCGGCCCGUCUUGAAAACAGGAA